rnacentral:rRNA from 1 species
GAUGAACGCUGGCGGCGUGCCUAAUACAUGCAAGUCGAGCGAACGGACGAGAAGCUUGCUUCUCUGAUGUUAGCGGCGGACGGGUGAGUAACACGUGGAUAACCUACCUAUAAGACUGGGAUAACUUCGGGAAACCGGAGCUAAUACCGGAUAAUAUUUUGAACCGCAUGGUUCAAAAGUGAAAGACGGCCUUGCUGUCACUUAUAGAUGGAUCCGCGCUGCAUUAGCUAGUUGGUAAGGUAACGGCUUACCAAGGCAACGAUGCAUAGCCGACCGGAGAGGGUGAUCGGCCACACUGGAACUGAGACACGGUCCAGACUCCUACGGGAGGCAGCAGUAGGGAAUCUUCCGCAAUGGGCGAAAGCCUGACGGAGCAACGCCGCGUGAGUGAUGAAGGUCUUCGGAUCGUAAAACUCUGUUAUUAGGGAAGAACAUAUGUGUAAGUAACUGUGCACAUCUUGACGGUACCUAAUCAGAAAGCCACGGCUAACUACGUG